AUCCAAUCACCAAGCUCCACACCAUCUUUCUUAUGGACCAUGUUUUCUGUACUCCACUCUGCAAUAAUCAAAUAACAUCUUGUAUUCAUAUUUUUUCCCACUAUUAUUAUAAUUGGAUAUGCAAAAAAAAAAUAGCUUCAUCCAUUGAAAGCUAAACAUGUUUUUGGAUAAAAAUAUAUUAAAUUUGAAAAAAUGAAUUUAGACUAUAAUAUUAAAAAAUAUUUAAAAAAUAAAUUGGGUUUUAGUUAAAUAUUUGAAGUAUAGACAUAGAUAGAAUUAAUUAAUUAUAAAUAUAGAUAAAUUUCAACAAAAUUUAUAGAUGCCAUUAAUAUGAUAUGUGUGUGUUGAUCCAACCUGAGGUCUAAUUAAAGCUUUCCAUGUCAGAGUUUACGUUAGAAUUUAGAACACCCUCUAUAUUUUUGCUAUAUUAGACAUACUUAAAUUUUAAACCCCAUAAGAGAAUAUGCAUAUACAUAUACAUAUAGAUAUACAUACCGUAUCGGUUCCAGCAGGGCCUGGUGAAGAAGCGCCGAGGCUGGGAGUAGGGGCCUCAUUUGAUGGAGACGGUGGGCUGGAGGCCGAAGGUGAUAGUGCUGGAGACUUAGCUUUGGUCUUGCUAGGGGCCGGAGCUGGAACCGUGGCAGGAGGAGAAGCCAAAGGAGCUGGUGGUGGGGUAGCUGGAGGAGGAGUAGCAGGAGGGGGAGAAGCAGGUGGUGGGGUAGCCGGAGGUGGAGAAGCCGGUGGGGGAGUUGCGGGAGGUGGAGUAGCCGGGGGAGGAGAAGCUGGUGGUGGGGAGCUAACGGGCGGGGGAGUCGCUGGAGGAGGAGUGGAAACUGGUGGUGGUGAUGAAGUAGGAGGAGGAGAGGAAGCUGGUGGCGGAGAAGUAGUUGUGGGUGUUGGAGGUGGUUGAGUAGUAGGUGGAGGUGUGGAAGCGGGUGGAGUCGGCGGCGCCGGCGUGGAUGUCGGAGGAUUACUAGGAGUAGGAGGAGCUUGGCCUAAAACGCCAGCUACAGCAAUGCAAAACAAAGCUGAUAAGAACAAAAACUUAUUAUUAAGCAUCAUAUUGGAAACAAUG
rnacentral:lncRNA from 1 species